CAGGAAGCGUCACUAUCAGACAAUUUUGGUCGACUAUUAGGGAGGUGUUAAAAUUAAUGCCAGAGCUGCUACUCUUUGAUUUUGAGUCACAAUAUGGUCCAAAAAAUGUUCGUGUUAAACUGACGUCACUUCUUCAGAAAAUUGACAAGGAAUACCCUUUGUUACCCGAUGCUAGACAGAAAAGGAACAACGAAAUCAUUGAUGAGUGGACGACAUCGGUCCAGGGAUUUUUGAAAGUCCUUUCCUUUUUCCCACCUGUGAACACUGAUGCGAAGAAGCAAAAAGCAACUGUUAAGGACUCCUUGUCGUCUUUUAUAAUAUUCUUUCCACUGGGCACUCCACCUUCGGGAAUAAUGGACGAUAUUAAUAAAAGAGGUGAAGGAAUACAAUUUGUCGCGGAUGGUUCCAACAAAAAGGCCCUUUCAAACUUCUACUUGAAGGUGGACGACCUCAUCUGGAAGAUCAAAGCUACAGAUUUUAUUGAUGCAUUUGAUUUCAUUUUUAAAGUUCAUUUCGCUCUCAAUAUUGAUUUUAAAAAAUGUCAUUCCCAUUUCUAUAAGUUUAUUCAGCAUUAAAUUUAUGGAAUUUCUCUCCAAAAGAUACUAGUUUCUUUAAAAUCUGUAGCAGCCCGUUGUAAUCUAAACUGAAAAAACCAAUUGAUAAUGCAAUAAAGUAACUAAAAAUUUUAACCCUCUAAGUUCGAUUAAGUCACCCUAAAACUUCUCGUUCUUAACUCUUUAAGGACGAGAAAUUUUUUACGGACCGAAAAUCGUCAAUAAAAAUGAAACCGGUAAACGUCUUACCUCUAACCUUGGAAAGUCCAAUAGAGCCUUAUUUGGUGUAUUUUUCACCUCUAUGAACAAUAGGGAUAAAAAUAGUCAAAAAAUUUAAGUAAUUUUUCUGGCGAUACCAAUGAUAGAUCAAUUGUCGCUCUAAUGAAAAAUAUUACGUUUGAGUAUUGUAGUUUUUAUUCCCGAAAUAGUUUUGCUUAAAAAUAAUUGGAAAUAUAAAAAAUAAUUAAAAUCAAUUUUCAAUAUGAGAAUUUACAAAUCGUCAUUUUUGAGCUUAAAUAUUUAUUAUAUAGCAAAUAGCUAAAGAUUUACAAAAAAUAUUCUAGAUUCCUUCAACCUUUU